rnacentral:rRNA from 1 species
GAUGAACGCUGGCGGCGUGCUUAACACAUGCAAGUCGAACGGGAUCCAUCAAGCUUGCUUGGUGGUGAGAGUGGCGAACGGGUGAGUAAUGCGUGACCGACCUGCCCCAUACACCGGAAUAGCUCCUGGAAACGGGUGGUAAUGCCGGAUGCUCCAGUUGAUCGCAUGGUCUUCUGGGAAAGCUUUCGCGGUAUGGGAUGGGGUCGCAUCCUAUCAGCUUGACGGCGGGGUAACGGCCCACCGUGGCUUCGACGGGUAGCCGGCCUGAGAGGGCGACCGGCCACAUUGGGACUGAGAUACGGCCCAGACUCCUACGGGAGGCAGCAGUGGGGAAUAUUGCACAAUGGGCGCAAGCCUGAUGCAGCGACGCCGCGUGAGGGAUGGAGGCCUUCGGGUUGUAAACCUCUUUUAUCGGGGAGCAAGCGAGAGUGAGUUUACCCGUUGAAUAAGCACCGGCUA